UAUAUAUAUAUGAGUUUCUCUCAAUGUCUGUGUGUGAAGAAUGAAGAGAAGAGAGCAGUAAUCUUCCAAUGACCACCUGUACCGUACAAAAUCGGAUUUAGUCUUUUAUUUUGAGUGGUUUAUAUGUGAUCUACGUUUCAGCUCCAUCAAAAUGACGAGAAAAGCAUACCCAUACGGAGUGAAAUCUCAUAUUCGCACCAAAGAGCAAUUGUUACUAAAGUUUUUAGCAGAUACAUUCCCAGUUUCAUUCUUUUGUUAUUUCUGAAAAUGAGUACAGAAUCGUCUCUGGUGUGGCUGGACUUUUGAUUGUCCUUAAAAAUCUAAGGGAUGAGUUCAAUAUGAUGUCAAAGUCAAAGGCUAAACUACUCCAUGGGAAGCUCUUGGAAAGGAAAUACAAUCAUGAGGAUAUCAUCUUGUCCUUGAUUCGCCAUCAAUCUAUUUGAACUUUUUAAGGGGUUGUAAUAUGAAAUUGAAGAUGCAAGAGCUUAUGAAUGAGGAGACAAAAAAUGUUGUUCACUCAAUAAGGAAAAGAUAUGGACUUGCAAUGCAUACGUCAGAAGAGAGGAGAGCAAUAUCUGGUAUUAUGAAAGAAGUGCUUUGCAGGAAAGAUCAUUUUGCAGUUCGGUGAUGGUUGAACAGAGAUGAGAGCAAUGUCUAGUUUUAGAUGAAAGAGACAACGAUUUUGAAGUUGCUGGGCUCAAUAUGUAGGACUCAUCGAGUUCUAAAACAGUAUUUGACUAUUUGUAUUUAGAUAUUUUAAUUUUUUUUAUUUGUUUAUUUAAUGUAGUCACCAAAGAUUGCAUUGGUGGGUAGACUUCAUAUGUGAGACCCAUAAUGGUAGGCACCAAAAGGUUGAUAGUGGGUUUUUGAGUAAUUGUCACGCCUGCAAUGCAAACCAACAAGAUAAUGGUGGCUAGACCCCUGCCUAUUGGUGUUGCCCGCCAAUGAUUGCUGCCCAUUGCUUCAAUUCACACCAUUGGUGAUGGUGUCUUUUGGCCAUAUUUGUUGCAGUGUAAAUAAAGACGAACACUGUGUCAA